UACGAAGGGGGCUAGCGUUGUUCGGAUUUACUGGGCGUAAAGCGCACGUAGGCGGAUCUUUAAGUCAGGGGUGAAAUCCCGAGGCUCAACCUCGGAACUGCCUUUGAUACUGGAGAUCUUGAGUUCGGGAGAGGUGAGUGGAACUGCGAGUGUAGAGGUGAAAUUCGUAGAUAUUCGCAAGAACACCAGUGGCGAAGGCGGCUCACUGGCCCGAUACUGACGCUGAGGUGCGAAAGCGUGGGGAGCAAACAGG
rnacentral:rRNA from 1 species